rnacentral:rRNA from 1 species
CAGUCGCCGCGGGAAUACGAAGGGGGCUAGCGUUGUUCGGAAUUACUGGGCGUAAAGCGCACGUAGGCGGAUACUUAAGUCAGGGGUGAAAUCCCGGGGCUCAACCCCGGAACUGCCUUUGAUACUGGGUAUCUCGAGUCCGGAAGAGGUGAGUGGAAUUCCGAGUGUAGAGGUGAAAUUCGUAGAUAUUCGGAGGAACACCAGUGGCGAAGGCGGCUCACUGGUCCGGUACUGACGCUGAGGUGCGAAAGCGUGGGGAGCAAACAGGAUUAGAUACCCCAGUAGUCCCUGUCUCUUAUAC